UACGGGGGGGGCAAGCGUUGUCCGGAAUUAUUGGGCGUAAAGCGCGCGCAGGCGGUCAGUUAAGUUGGGUGUUUAAGCCCGGGGCUCAACCCUGGUACGCAUCCAAAACUGGUUGACUUGAGUGUAGGAGAGGAAAGUGGAAUUCCACGUGUAGCGGUGAAAUGCGUAGAGAUGUGGAGGAACACCAGUGGCGAAGGCGACUUUCUGGCCUAUAACUGACGCUGAGGCGCGACAGCAUGGGGAGCGAACGGG
rnacentral:rRNA from 1 species